UGGGGAAUCUUGGACAAUGGGCGCAAGCCUGAUCCAGCCAUGCCGCGUGAGUGAAGAAGGCCUUCGGGUUGUAAAAGCUCUUUUACCAGGGACGAUAAUGACGGUACCUGGAGAAUAAGCCCCGGCAAACUUCGUGCCAGCAGCCGCGGUAAUACGAAGGGGGCUAGCGUUGUUCGGAAUUACUGGGCGUAAAGCGCACGUAGGCGGAUUGUUAAGUCAGAGGUGAAAUCCCGGAGCUCAACUUCGGAACUGCCUUUGAUACUGGCAAUCUCGAGUCCGGAAGAGGUUAGUGGAAUUCCCAGUGUAGAGGUGAAAUUCGUAGAUAUUGGGAAGAACACCAGUGGCGAAGGCGGCUAACUGGUCCGGUACUGACGCUGAGGUGCGAAAGCUAGGGGAGCAAACGGGAUUAGAUACCCAUCGUAGUCCCUGAGCGGGCUGGCAAGGCGCAU
rnacentral:rRNA from 1 species